AACGAACGCUGGCGGCAUGCCUAACACAUGCAAGUCGAACGAUGCCUUCGUGCAUAGUUGCGCAUGGGUGCGUAACGCGUGGGAAUCUGCCUUUCGGCUCGGAAUAACUCUGGGAAACUUGAGCUAAUACCGGAUAACGUCGCAAGACCAAAGAUUUAUCACCGAAAGAUGAGCCCGCGUAGGAUUAGCUAGUUGGUGAGGUAAAGGCUCACCACGGCGACGAUCCUUAGCUGGUCUGAGAGGAUGAUCAGCCACACUGGGACUGAGACACGGCCCAGAAUCCUACGGGAGGCAGCAGUGGGGAAUAUUGGACAAUGGGCGAAAGGCUGAUACAGCAAUGCCGCGUGAGUGAUGAAGGCCUUAGAGUUGUAAAGCUCUUUUACCCGGGAAGAUAAUGACGGUACCGGGAGAAUAAGCCCCGGCUAACUCCGUG
rnacentral:rRNA from 1 species